GGCGCCGUGGCAGAGUGGUCUAAUGCGAUAGACUAGAACUACUUGAUGGAUGAUUCUGGUAAUCUAUUCUCUUCGGAGGCGCAUGUUCGAAUCAUGCCGGCGUCG